GGGCUUGACUGGUUUUGACAGCGAGUAAAAUUGAUAUGUAAGCAUGCAGAGCCUUGUAUGAGUCGCUCUUUAAUCUGAAUAUACAACCUUAUAACAGGCGAAAAUAACUACGCUCUUGCUGCUUAAUCGAAUAACAGUAGAUUAGCUUAAUUCUGAUACUAGGUAUCGGAACGAGACAUCUCUCAAAUGCCCUCUCCUUGAGGCGGUUUGAUUUAGAGGUGCUAAUAAAUCAGGGAUAGCUUUGUGUUGCCUCGCACACAAAGUGAAAAUUUAGAGGAUAAGGUUGCAAUUGGUAGUUUCGGUCUUGUUGCAACUCGAAAAAUUAAGCGAAAAUAAGCAUGUAGAAAGCGUAUUUGUUUCUUGUUUGGACGAGGGUUCGAAUCCCUCCAGGUCCACAA
rnacentral:tmRNA from 1 species